CCUACGGGAGGCAGCAGUGAGGAAUAUUGGUCAAUGGGCGAGAGCCUGAACCAGCCAAGUCGCGUGAAGGAUGACGGCCCUACGGGUUGUAAACUUCUUUUGUCAGGGAGCAAUUGGGUCCACGCGUGGGCUUAGCGAGAGUACCUGAAGAAAAAGCAUCGGCUAACUCCGUGCCAGCAGCCGCGGUAAUACGGAGGAUGCGAGCGUUAUCCGGAUUUAUUGGGUUUAAAGGGUGCGUAGGCGGAAUAUCAAGUCAGCGGUAAAAAUUCGGGGCUCAACGCCGUGGUGCCGUUGAAAUGGAUGUUAUUGAGGGGGCGAGAAGUAUGCGGAAUGCGUGGUGUAGCGGUGAAAGGAAGAGAUAGCACGCAGAACUCAGAUUGAGAAGGAAGCAUAACGGCGCCCAACUGAAGCUGAAGCACGAAAGCGUGGGUAUCGAACAGGAGUAGAUACCCGAGGAGUC
rnacentral:rRNA from 1 species